rnacentral:rRNA from 1 species
AUUGAACGCUGGCGGCAGGCCUAACACAUGCAAGUCGAGCGGAUGAAGGGAGCUUGCUCCUGGAUUCAGCGGCGGACGGGUGUGUAAUGCCUAGGAAUCUGCCUGGUAGUGGGGGAUAACGUCCGGAAACGGGCGCUAAUACCGCAUACGUCCUGAGGGAGAAAGUGGGGGAUCUUCGGACCUCACGCUAUCAGAUGAGCCUAGGUCGGAUUAGCUAGUUGGUGGGGUAAAGGCCUACCAAGGCGACGAUCCGUAACUGGUCUGAGAGGAUGAUCAGUCACACUGGAACUGGGACAGGGUCAAGACUCCUAAGGGAGGGAGCAGUGGGGAAUAUUGGACAGUGGGCGAAAGCCUGGUACAGCCAUGCCGCGUGUGUGAAGACGGUGUUCGGAUUGUAAAGCAGUUUAAGUUGGGAGGAAGCGCAGUAAGUUAAUACCUUGCUGUUUUGACGUUAACAAGAGAAUAAGCACCGGCUAACUUCGUG